GUUUUGUCAUGUUUUCAAAUGUAAACCAAAUACACUUGCUCAGGUGAUUAAAACGACAACAAAUGAAGCAGAGAUCUUUCAAUAUAGAUAUGCCUUAAUACCCAAGGUAGAACCAAAAGAAAAAGUCACACACAGAUACACACACACACACACACACAGGAGAACAAAGGAAACACUAACGUGUGAACAGGAAAUGAAGCAACUCUGUACACUGCAAUUGUAUUCCAUCCCAAUCACACGCCACAACUUGUUCAGCCAUUCUCCGAUUGAUGGACAUCCCCACAAUUUACAGUUCUUUGCCAUCACAAAGAAAGCUACUCGAAAGAUGUUAGAACAUGGGAACCUUUAGAACCUUGUGAGUUUUCAAAGGUCUGGAUGGUACCUUGGAAUCCAGUGUUCCAGAAUCCAAAAGGUUAUUGAUUUAGUGUCCUACUAUUUCAAGGUUCUAUUUGCUGGUAUCUACAAGUAGAAGGAACACAGCUAUUUUGUUGUCUGAGAUAAAGGUAGUAAGAGAGGAAAGCCUGAGGCUUACUUCCUUGAAGAGACAAAUAUAGUACCCUAACUCUGGGAAAGUGAGCCAGAGCAUAAAUCACUACACUUGAAAUUCAUGUCCCUAGCCUAGGGAGAGGGAGGAAAAAUAUAGCAAGCAACCUCUUCUACCCAGAAUUGCAAAAGAACCAGACAAAAGCCCAUAGAUAAUAUUCAGCACCUAGCAGAAAAAACAAUACCAACACUGGUAACUGUAAAAGAGGAGGAAAAUGGUGAGUGAGACUCUCCUUUCUUAAUAAUGGAGAUCAAUGAACAAGUUUUAACCCACUGGAUGGAUGUGUUUAUUCAGUCAGAAGUUGAAGGGAGAUGUGAAGGAAAGGGAUGUGAGGAAAGCAGAAAUAUCUGAGGAAAGAUGGCUGUGUCUCUCCUUCCUCAAGGUUAGCUGACCUUAGAGCUUUGAAUUACAGAGAGAGAGAGAGAGAGAGAGAGAGAGAGAGAGAGAGAGAGAGAGAGAGAGAGAGAGAGAGAGA